AAAACGCUGCGAGUUUCGGUUUGGAUAUUUAGUUGCCGAAACAUCGCAUGAUUAUAUACCGUUUCUCGUUUCACUGCGAAACGGCGAAUUGAACAGCUUCCAAAAUUGAUAUUUUGUUCAGCUGUUCAAUUUUAAG
rfam:Treponema maltophilum ATCC 51939 genomic scaffold aczIZ-supercont-complete, whole genome shotgun sequence.